CUUCAAAUAUAUGUACUGGAGUCUAUGUAUAGACUAGCGUUCCGGUAAAAAAUUCCUUAAAUUUGAUAUCAAAAUUAAGAUUAACUAAAUUUUGAUCCGCGUAUCCGCGCAGAUGUAUUUUUUAAAGAAUAUAUUUCUAUUUGUUUUUCAUGUCAAUAAUAUUAGGAUAAGGCAAAAUACCAGAAUUUGAAAAACCAAACCGAUCCCGAUCCAAAAAGUAGUACCAAACCUGAAUCAAAAUGGAUUAAAUAUUCGAAUUAUUCAAAAUUUUAGUUUUUUAAGAACCGAA
rnacentral:lncRNA from 1 species